AAUCAGAUCUACCUGAAAAAUUAAGUGAAUUGAUUUGAUUGGAAUGCUCUUUUGCCGAUUCUUUAACAUACAGCCAUUAGGGGAAGUGGUAUGAUGUAUGUUCUCCACAGGAAAUGGAAAACGGCAGCUGAACUGUGUGUGAGCCCAGUUUGAUUCACAUAAAGGCAGGACGUUCUGUCUCCAGUUGGCUUUUGGGCACCAAUACUUUUUCUCGUCUUCAGCAAGCCACUUUACACAUCUACGUUACCUGCCUUCCUCUGAAAGGAUGAGAGUUAUGAAUCCUAAUGUUAUAAAUAUUAUUGUGGUAUCAAGCCAGAUCAGGAGAGUAUGACCCUAUUACUGUACCUGCCUUUGAAACCACCUCUUACCUGCUGUCUUUGUGGGACACUCAAUCAAUCUGCUUUAGUACUUGUGUAACAUUUUCUGAAAUUGAGUGGAAUUGUCCAGGCCACAACUAUGUAUAGUAUUCAUUUAUAAUUCAUUUAUAAUUCAUUUAUAAUACUAUAAUGUAUAGUAUUCAGAAGUCCUUUGAGCUCUUCAUCACUAAGGUGUGAUUGUUUAAGCUGUGAGAAAAUUUUUCCAAUUAAAGUUUAUACAUGUUGGAUAAACUACACUGGCAUUGUGCUUCUAUAUGCAAUUAAAGUUUGAACUGGAG
rnacentral:lncRNA from 1 species